AUUAGGUGAAGUCAAUGAUCCCAUGCUGCCAAGAAAAGCCUCUAGCGAGCUUCGAGCGGCCCGUACCCCAAACCGACACAGGUGGUCAGGUAGAGAAUACCGAGGCGAUCGGGCGAACUGUGGUUAAGGAACUCGGCAAAUUACCCCCGUAACUUCGGGAGAAGGGGGGCCACAGACUGUCAUACCCCACGCGGGUGGCAGCAGUAGGUGGCCGCAGAGACCAGGGGGAAGCGACUGUUUACUAAAAACACAGGUCCGUGCGAAGUCGUAAGACGAUGUAUACGGACUGACGCCUGCCCGGUGCUGGAACGUUAAGGGGACCGGUUAGUCCGCAAGGGCGAAGCUGAGAACUUAAGCGCCAGUAAACGGCGGUGGUAACUAUAACCAUCCUAAGGUAGCGAAAUUCCUUGUCGGGUAAGUUCCGACCUGCACGAAUGGCGUAACGACUUCCCUACUGUCUCAACCACAGGCCCGGCGAAAUUGCACUACGAGUAAAGAUGCUCGUUACGCGCGGAAGGACGGAAAGACCCCGGGACCUUCACUAUAGCUUGACAUUGGUAUCCGAAUUUAAUUGUGUAGGAUAGGUGGGAGGCUUUGAUCCGCGGACGCCAGUCCGUCGGGGAGCCAACGUUGAAAUACCACUCUGUUGACUUUGGGUAUCUAACUUCGGACCGUGAUCCGGUUCAGGGACAGUGUCUGGUGGGUAGUUUAACUGGGGCGGUUGCCUCCUAAAAUGUAACGGAGGCGCCCAAAGGUUCCCUCAGCCUGGUUGGCAAUCAGGUGUUGAGUGCAAGUGCACAAGGGAGCUUGACUGUGAGACUGACAGGUCGAGCAGGGACGAAAGUCGGGACUAGUGAUCCGGCACCUGCGAGUGGAAGCGGUGUCGCUCAACGGAUAAAAGGUACCCCGGGGAUAACAGGCUGAUCUUCCCCAAGAGUCCAUAUCGACGGGAUGGUUUGGCACCUCGAUGUCGGCUCGUCGCAUCCUGGGGCUGGAGUAGGUCCCAAGGGUUGGGCUGUUCGCCCAUUAAAGCGGCACGCGAGCUGGGUUUAGAACGUCGUGAGACAGUUCGGUCCCUAUCCUCCGCGCGCGUAGGAGACUUGAGAAGAGCUGUCCCUAGUACGAGAGGACCGGGACGGACGAACCUCUGGUGUGCCAGUUGUCAUGCCAAUGGCACGGCUGGUUAGCUACGUUCGGAAGGGAUAACCGCUGAAAGCAUCUAAGCGGGAAGCUCGCUUCAAGAUAGGUCUCCCACCCCUUAGAGGGUUAAGGCCCCCAGCUAGACCACUGGGUUGAUAGGCCAGAAGUGUAAGCCUGGUAACAGGUUCAGCCGACUGGUACUAAUAGGCCGAGGACUUCACCA
rnacentral:rRNA from 1 species